CCUUCGCCCUCAUCACUCUCGCCCUCGUUUUCCCCCUCUCAUUCGCCAUCCUCGCCCAUACCCUCUUCACCCACCCCAUCCUCCUCCAGCUGCAGAGGAGCGACGCCCCACCCUCCGACUGGCUCCUCCUCCUCCUCUACCAGUUCGCCUACCUCCUUUUCCUCUUCACCUUCUCCCUCCUCUCCACCGCCGCCGUCGUCUUCACCGUCGCCUCCCUCUACGCCGCC
rnacentral:lncRNA from 1 species